rnacentral:rRNA from 1 species
GACGAACGCUGGCGGCGUGCUUAACACAUGCAAGUCGAACGAGUGGCGAACGGGUGAGUAAUACGUGUGUAACCUUCCCUCUUUUUGGGAUAAGCCUUGGAAACCGGUUCUAAUACCGACUAAAGGGGGAUGGGCUCGCGGCCUAUCAGCUUGUUGGGGGGGUCAUGGCCUACCACGGCGGUGCCGGGUAGCCGGCCUGAGAGGGUGACCGGCAACGUGGGGACUGAGAGACUGCCCAGAGUCCCACGGGAGGGAGCAGUGGGGGAUAUGGCACAAUGGGGGAAAGCCUGAGGCAGCGACGCGGCGUGGGGCAUGAAGGCUUUCGGGUUUUAAACCUCGGUCGCAAGCGAACGGGUAGGUGGAGAAGAAGCGCCGGCUAACUACGUGCCAGCAGCCGCGGUAAUAC